UAAACUUUUAAUUUGUGUUAGAUAGAGCGAGAUAGCAUAUAAUAUGUUAAUAAGCAUUAAAUAGCCAAAUGUUUCGUCAUCCAAUUUAGCGUGGUGCAUGAGUGAAUUAAUAAGAUUCCCUCUGUCUAUUAAUUUUCUAGUGAAACUAUUAACAAAGGGAAUAAGCUUGGGAAAAUUAGCCAGGAAAGAAGAUCCUAGUUAAAUUUGACUCUAGCAUUAUAAAAAAAUAUAAAAACUGUAGUAUAAGCGAGAUGGUAACAUCAUUGGUGAAAUAUUGCUUUUAUUUUUUUAGGUACUCGGUUGGGUGGAGCACGAAUUUCAGUAUUCUGAGCCAAGCGAGGAUUUUAACUAGGAUGAUACAUCUAUCAAAAAAUAAGUAUUCUAAGAUCAGCAAAAAGAAGACAGAAACCUCGCAUAGAGCAAAAAAGCAAAAGAACUUAAUCUUGAUGUUUAAUAUCACAAAAACUGAAAGAACGGUCUAUCGAUUCUUUUGGCUUAAAUAGUUUUCAGCAAGAGAUAUAAAAAGGAUUACUAUAAGAAUAAACUGACUUUUGGCUAAGACUUCAUAGCGACUUCAUCGUUUUUUUAAUCCUUCGAUGUCGGCUUUUUCUAUCAUUGCGAAGCAGAAUUUGCCAAGAAGAUUUACCUGAGAACAUGAGCUGAAUCUAUUGAUGAUUAGCUGUUGCAAUAGUAAUCCUGCUAUAUGAAUAUAAAAGGAACAGAUUCGAACAUUUAGAGUAAUUAUAUUAUGUGCUGCGAUCUGUUAAAACUCAAUUCUAAACUUUCAUCUUGUUCUUCUUAUCACAUCAUAUACUACAUUAUAUAUUAUGGAGCAUAUAUAUAUAAUGUAUGUAUACAUACAU
rnacentral:ncRNA from 1 species